CCUGGUUGAUCCUGCCAGUAGUCAUAUGCUUGUCUCAAAGAUUAAGCCAUGCAUGUCUAAGUAUGAACUAAUUCAAACUGUGAAAUUGUGGAUGGCUCAUUAAAUCAGUUAUAGUUUUUUUAUGGUACCAUACUACUCAAGUAACCGUAGUAAUUCUAGAGCUAAUACUUGAACCAAGUCCUGACUCUUUGGAAGGGAUGCAUUUUUUAGAUAAAAGGAAAUCGCGGGCUUGCCCGCUUCUGUAGUGAAUCAUGAUAACUCGACGGAUUGCACAGCCCUUGUGUUGGUGAUGCUUCAUUCAAAUUUCUUCCCUAUCAAAUUUCGAUGGUAGGAUAGAGGCCCACCAUGGUGGUGACAAGUAAUGGAGAAUUAGGGUUCGAUUCUAGAGAGGGAGCCUGAGAAACAGCUACCACAUCCAAGGCAACAGGCGCGCAAAUUACCCAAUCCUGACAUGGGGAGGUAGUGACAAUAAAUAACAAUACUGGGCUCACCGAGUCUGGUAAUUGGAAUGAGUACAAUCUAAAUCCCUUAACGAGGAUCCAUUGGGGGGAAAGUCUGGUGCCAACAACCAUGGUCAUUCCAGCUACAAUAGCAUAGAUUUAAGUUGUUGCAGUUAAAAAGCUCAUAGUUGGAUCUUGGGUCAUAAAGGUUAGUCCGCCCACUUGGUGUGUACCUGCCCUUCCAUCCCUUUUGUCAGUGGCAUGCUCCUGAACUUAAUUGGCUGGAUCGUGGCUCCAGCACUAUUACUUUAAAAAAAUUAGAGUGCUCAAAUUAAGCUUAUGCUCUGAAUACAUUCGCAUGGAAUAAUGUGAUAGGAGUCUGGUCAUAUUGUGUUUGCCUUCGGGACCAGAGUAAUGAUUAAUAGGGACUAUCGAGGGAAUUCGUAUUUCAUUGUCAGAGGUGACAUUCUUGGAUUUAUGAAUGAUGGACCACUACGAAAGCAUUUUCCAAGGAUAUUUCCAUUAAUCAAGAACGAAAGUUGGGGGCUCGAAGAUGAUCAGAUAUUGUCCUAUUCUCAACCAUAAACGAUGUCGACCAGGGAUAGGUGGAUGUUGCUCUAAGGAAUCCACUAACACCUUCUAAGAAAUCAAAGUGUUUGGGAUCCAGGGGGAGUAUGGUUGCAAGGCUGAAACUUAAAGGAAUUGAUGGAAGGGUACCACCAGGAGUGGAGCCUGCUGCUUAAUUUGACUCAACACGGGGAAACUUACCAGGUCCAGACAUAGUAAGGAUUGAUAUAUUGAGAGAUCUAUCUUGAUUCUAUGGGUGGUGGUGCAUGGCCAUUCUUAGUAGGUGGAGCGAUUUGUCUAUUUAAUUCUAAUAAUGAAUGAGACCUCAGUCUGCUAACUAGUUAUGUGGAGGUUCCCCUUCACAACCUGUUUCGUAGAGGGACUAUGGCCAUUUAGGCCAUGGAAGUUUGAGGCAAUAACAUGUAUUUUAUGCCCUUAGAUGUUUUGGGCCACACGCGUGCUACAAUGAUGUAGACAGUGGGUUUUUCUUCCCAGUUCGAGAGGAUUGGGAAAUAUUCUCAAAUUGCAUCAUGAUGGGGAUAGACCAUUACAAUUAUUGGUCUUCAACGAGGAAUUUCUAGUAAGUGCAUGUCAUCAACUCGUGUUGACUAUGUCCCUGCCCUUUGUACACACCGCUUGUCGCUCCUAUCGAUUGAAUGAUCCGAUGAAGUGUUUGGAUUGCAUCGAUGAUGGUGGUUCACCGUCAUCGACGUCGUGAGAAGUUCAUUGAACCUUAUCAUUUAGAAGAAGGAGAAGUUGUAACAAGGUUACUGUAUGUGAACCUACAAUAG
rnacentral:rRNA from 1 species